rnacentral:rRNA from 1 species
UACGUAGGGUGCAAGCGUUAAUCGGAAUUACUGGGCGUAAAGCGUGCGCAGGCGGUGAUGUAAGACAGUUGUGAAAUCCCCGGGCUCAACCUGGGAACUGCAUCUGUGACUGCAUUGCUGGAGUGCGGCAGAGGGGGAUGGAAUUCCGCGUGUAGCAGUGAAAUGCGUAGAGAUGCGGAGGAACACCGAUGGCGAAGGCAAUCCCCUGGACCUGUACUGACGCUCAUGCACGAAAGCGUGGGGAGCAAACAGG